rnacentral:rRNA from 1 species
GACGAACGCUGGCGGCGUGCCUAACACAUGCAAGUGGAGCGACGAACCAGGCUUCGGCCUGGGGCAAAGCCGCGAACGGGUGAGUAACACGUGGGUAACCUGCCCUGAUGAUCGGGACAACCCGGGGAAACUCGGGCUAAUACCGAAUGUGCCCUCCGGCCUCAAGGCCGCUGGGGAAAGGAAGCUUCGGCCUCCGCAUCGGGAUGGGCCCGCGGCCCAUUAGCUUGUUGGUGAGGUAACGGCUCACCAAGGCGACGAUGGGUAGCUGGUCUGAGAGGACGAUCAGCCACACUGGGACUGAGACACGGCCCAGACUCCUACGGGAGGCAGCAGUGGGGAAUCUUGCGCAAUGCGCGAAAGCGUGACGCAGCAACGCCGCGUGGGGAAGAAGGCC